UACAGAGGUCUCAAGCGUUGUUCGGAUUCAUUGGGCGUAAAGGGUGCGUAGGUGGCGUGCUAAGUCAGGUGUGAAAUUUCGGAGCUUAACUCCGAAACUGCAUUUGAUACUGGCGUGCUUGAGGACUGGAGAGGAGACUGGAAUUCGCGGUGUAGCAGUGAAAUGCGCAGAUAUCAGGAGGAACACCAAUUGCGAAGGCAGCUCGCUGGGACGUUACUGACGCUGAGACGCGAAAGCGUGGGGAGCAAACAGG
rnacentral:rRNA from 1 species